rnacentral:rRNA from 1 species
UUAACGCUGGCGGCAGGCUAACACAUGCAAGUCGAGCGGUAGAGAGAAGCUUGCUUCUCUUGAGAGCGGCGGACGGGUGAGUAAUGCCUAGGAAUCUGCCUGGUAGUGGGGGAUAACGUUCGGAAACGGACGCUAAUACCGCAUACGUCCUACGGGAGAAAGCAGGGGACCUUCGGGCCUUGCGCUAUCAGAUGAGCCUAGGUCGGAUUAGCUAGUUGGUGAGGUAAUGGCUCACCAAGGCGACGAUCCGUAACUGGUCUGAGAGGAUGAUCAGUCACACUGGAACUGAGACACGGUCCAGACUCCUACGGGAGGCAGCAGUGGGGAAUAUUGGACAAUGGGCGAAAGCCUGAUCCAGCCAUGCCGCGUGUGUGAAGAAGGUCUUCGGAUUGUAAAGCACUUUAAGUUGGGAGGAAGGGUUGUAGAUUAAUACUCUGCAAUUUUGACGUAACCGACAGAAUAAGCACCGGCUAACUCUGUGCCAGCAGCCGCGGUAAUACAGAGGGUGCAAGCGUUAAUCGGAAUUACUGGGCGUAAAGCGCGCGUAGGUGGUUUGUUAAGUUGGAUGUGAAAUCCCCGGGCUCAACCUGGGAACUGCAUUCAAAACUGACUGACUAGAGUAUGGUAGAGGGUGGUGGAAUUUCCUGUGUAGCGGUGAAAUGCGUAGAUAUAGGAAGGAACACCAGUGGCGAAGGCGACCACCUGGACUAAUACUG